AUAAGUAACGAACAGAAUAUGACAGAGAAUUUUUCAUUCCAACACGCAGGACUUCCAUGCGGCCGAGUGUCUGAUAGUCAGAUAGUGUACUUACGUUACCACGAUGCAACGGCAGGCAGGUGAGCAACGGCAGGCAGAACCACCUUUAGAUGACAGAACUCAGCUCGAGGUCGCUACAAGGCUUGGUUGUGAUUGGGUAAAACUGGCACUUGAGCUGGGCUCUAAGAUGGUACAGGUUCAGACUAUUGAGAGAAAUCACCAAAACGAUAUCAUAAGGCAAGGUCUCAAUGUGCUUGUAACAUGGCAACAGGCCCAGUCCACCAGUGAUGAACAGCAGAGGACCACGUUGUGCACAGCACUGAGGAACAUCGGAAGAGCAGAUGUUGCUGGAUUUCUGCACGGUUAAAUGCACACCAGCAAAAGAAAUUAGCCAAUCCAAAUGUUGAGACUGGACAGUGGCUGGCUUCAACGUGGUCAACCUCCCCCUGGCAUCCAGCUCGAAUCCCGCCAAGUCUACAAUUCUGACCAUUCCAGCCGACAACCCCCAUCAAGAUGGGCUGCUGCAGUACUAGUGCAUUUUCAUCUUAAAAUAAUGGAUAUUAAAUUUUUGUGUGAGAGUACUGGUAUUGAUAUAUACAGCUCGUAGUUUUUUUUCUUCGCUAUUUAGCCGUAAAAGAGUAGAACAUAAUUAGCACCUGGUGUGUGGAUUACCCUAUAUUUCCCUCUGCAUUUGUGUGUUAUCGUUCAUGCACACCGUUCAACAACAAAUAGCGAAGCCCACAAAUUUUAUUUGACAUUGUUCAUAUUCCAUAUUGCCGAUGAUUGCCAUUUUCUUUAGGUACUGAAAUUUGUAUCCUUGUGUAGAUCUCAUCCUCACGAAUGCACAACGUUCAACAAAUAGCGAAGCCCACAAAUUCUACUCGAUAUUGGUCACAUUCCAUAUUGCCGAUGAUUGCCAUUUUCUUUAUGUACAUGUACUGUGAUGUGUAUAUAUCGCUUUAUCCUCAUGUACCAACAUUUUAGAGUGUGAAAAUCUAGUUUUACGAAAAUUCGGACCAAAUAUCCCUUUAAAACGUUUUAUCAGUUUUCACUUUGCGACAGAUAAAUGCACUUUGCAAAUUCCAAUUUUUUAAAGUAAAAUCCAGAUUUUUAAUAAAAAAUAAAAUCACACUUUUCAACGUAACAUUGAUGUUU